GACGAACGCUGGCGGCGUGCCUAAUACAUGCAAGUAGAACGCAGUUGCGCACGGGUGAGUAACGCGUCGGUAACUGCCUCAUAGCGGGGGAUAACUAUUGGAAACGAUAGCUAAUACCCCCUACUGUGAGCUAGACCUGAGUUGCAUUUGCUAGUUGGUGAGGUAAAGGCUCACCAAGGCCACGAUACAUAGCCGACCUGUGAGGGUUGACGGGCAAACUGGGAAUGGGAAACGGCCCAGAAUCCUAAGGGAGGCAGCAGGAGGGGAACUUCGGCAAUGGGCGGAAGUCUGACCGAGCAACGCCGCGUGAGUGAAGAAGGGUUUCGGAUCGUAAAGCUCUGUUGUUAGAGAAGCGGUAACUAAACAGAAAGGGACGGCUAACUACGUGCCAGCAGCCGCGGUAAUAC
rnacentral:rRNA from 1 species